rnacentral:rRNA from 1 species
UUUAAGUAUAAAUAUGUAAUAAAAUUAGUAUUAGUUAUGUUCUUGAAAUUUAAAGAUUUUGGCGGUAUUUUAGUCUUUUCAGAGGAACCUGUUCUGUAAUCGAUAGUCCACGAUUAAUAUUACUUAUUUUAAUUAGUUUGUAUAUCGUCGUGGUUGAAUAUUUCAUUAGGAUUUAAAUAUUCAAGAUUUAAAAUAAUAAAUUAAAUCAGAUCAAGGUGCAAUUUAUAAAUAAGAAGAGAUGGGUUACAAUAAAAGUAUUUAUACGAAUAAAUUAAUGAAAAAGAUUUUGAAGGUGGAUUUGAAAGUAAUAAAAUUGAUUUAGAU